rnacentral:rRNA from 1 species
AGUAAUGUAUGGGGAUCUGCCUGAUGGCGGGGGAUAACUACUGGAAACGGUAGCUAAUACCGCAUAAUGUCUACGGACCAAAGCGGGGGACCUCCGGGCCUCGCGCCAUCAGAUGAACCCAUAUGGGAUUAGCUAGUAGGUGAGGUAACGGCUUACCUAGGUGACGAUCCCUAGCUGGUCUGAGAGGAUGAUCAGCCACACUGGGACUGAGACACGGCCCAG